UACGGCCAUAUAUUGAAACACCGGUUCCCGUAUAAUCACCGAAGUUAAGCAACGCUGAUCAUGGUUAGUACCUAGAUGGGCGACCGCUUAAGAAUACCAGAUGCUGUUA